UCAUGCGGCAGAAGAGUGCAAAGGAGUUAAGAUCCUUAUAAGGUAAUUUCUUAAAAUAUCUCUUGAU
rnacentral:tRNA from 1 species